GAUGAAGAACGUAGCGAAAUGCGAUAAGUAAUGUGAAUUGCAGAAUUCAGUGAACCAUCGAAUCUUUGAACGCACAUUGCGCCCGGUAGUAAUCUGCCGGGCAUGCCUGUCCGAGCGUCAUUUCUCCCCUCGAGCGCGGCUUCACGGCCUGUCGCUCGGUGUUGGGGCACUACGGUGGAAUACCCCGUAGGCUCCGAAAUGAAGUGGCGGUCCCGCCGCGGCGCCCCCAUGCGUAGUAACAUCUCGUCUCGCAUCGGGUCCCGGCGGAGGCCUGCCGUCAAGCCUAUUUUAAUCACAGAUGGUUUGACCUCGGAUCAGGUAGGGUUACCCGCUGAACUUAAGCAUAUCAAUAAGCGGAGGA
rnacentral:misc_RNA from 1 species